UUCAACAUUAUGAAGCUGGUUGAUGGAACAAAAGCUAUCUGGGGUUUUUGUUGUAGUUAGAUAUAUCGGCAUAGACCCUGUUGGUGUUGACUGUGCCUACUACUGCAGUAGAUGUCUUGAAGGCUGAAGAGGGAAAGGUUUCAUGCCGAUAGCCUCUUUUCAAGAUCCUGACUCGAUCCCUCAACCUCCCUGCACCAUUUCCAGUCAUUGUGUCCUUGAAAAAGCUAAGAAGAAAAGGAAGUUGAAGUUAUGAUGCGAGUAAACACACAAGUCAAGACCCACUCUGCUGGUGAAUGAGAAGGACAAGUCGCGCUGCACCACCAACUACAUGCUUUUGUAAGACGUAGCUGUUUUAUUUUGCUU
rnacentral:lncRNA from 1 species